AGCAAGGUUCAAACAGAGAUAAGACAAUCACCUGGGUCAGGAACUUGUAGAGAGGAUUCCUACAUGGAGUGGGAGACUGAAAUAAUAACCUCAAAGAUGCCUUCCAAUCAGAAGAUUUGGUGAUUCUUUCUGAGUUAUCAAACUGCCUUCCUUUGACCUUGCUCACAUGAAGAAAUCCAAGUCAGCAUGGCCUCAUGACUCAAUCCUGGGGGACAUGAGAUAAAGA
rnacentral:lncRNA from 1 species